CCUACGGGUGGCAGCAGGGAGGAAUAGUGGGCAAUGGACGGAAGGCGGAACCAGCAAAGUCGCGGGAAGGAAGAAGGAGCUAUGGGUGGUAAACUGCUUUUAUAGGGGAAUAAAGGUAGCCACGUGUGGAGAUCUGCAUGUACCCUAUGAAUAAGCAUCGGCUAACUCCGUGCCAGCAGCCGCGGUAAUACGGAGGGUGCGAGCGUUAUCCGGAGUUAUUUGGUUUAAAGGGUGCGUAGGUUGGUUUUUAAGUCAGCGGUGAAAGUUUGUGGCUCAACCCUAAGCUUGCCGUUGAAACUGGAAGACUUGAGUGUGUUUGAGGUAGGCGGAAUUCGUGGUGUAGCGGUGCAAUGCAUAGAUAUCACGCAGAACUCCGAUUGCGAAGGCAGCUUACU
rnacentral:rRNA from 1 species